rnacentral:rRNA from 1 species
GAUGAACGCUGGCGGCGUGCCUAAUACAUGCAAGUCGAGCGAACAGAUGAGGAGUUUGCCCCUCUGCCGUUGGCGGCGGCCGGGUGAUAAACACGUGGCUAACCUACUUAUAGGACUGGGUAAAUCUCGGAAAACGGGAGCUAAUACCGGAAAAUAUAUCGCACACCAUGGUGCAAUAUGGAAAGUCGGAUUUGGCUACCCUUAUCGAUGGAUCCGCGCCGCAUUAGCUAGUUGGUAAGGUAACGGCUUACCAAGGCAACGAUGCGUAGCCGACCUGAGAGGGUGAUCGGCCACACUGGAACUGAGACACGGUCCAGACUCCUACGGGAGGCAGCAGUAGGGAAUCUUCCGCAAUGGGCGAAAGCUUGACGGAGCAACGCCGCGUGAGUGAUGAAGGUCUUCGGAUCGUAAAACUCUGUUGUUAGGGAAGAACAAGUGUGUGAGUAACUAUGGACGUCUUGACGGUACCUGAUCAGAAAGCCACGGCUAACUACGUG